rnacentral:rRNA from 1 species
UACGAAGGGGGCUAGCGUUGCUCGGAAUCACUGGGCGUAAAGGGUGCGUAGGCGGGUCUUUAAGUCAGGGGUGAAAUCCUGGAGCUCAACUCCAGAACUGCCUUUGAUACUGAGGAUCUUGAGUUCAGGAGAGGUGAGUGGAACUGCGAGUGUAGAGGUGAAAUUCGUAGAUAUUCGCAAGAACACCAGUGGCGAAGGCGGCUCACUGGCCCGAUACUGACGCUGAGGCACGAAAGCGUGGGGGAGCAAACAGG